rnacentral:rRNA from 1 species
GACGAACGCUGGCGGCGUGCUUAACACAUGCAAGUCGAACGAAGUGGCGAACGGGUGAGUAACGCGUAAUCAACCUGCCCUUCAGAGGGGGACAACAGUUGGAAACGACUGCUAAUACCGCAUACUGAAGGAGGGGAUUGCGUCUGAUUAGCUAGUUGGAGGGGUAACGGCCCACCAAGGCGAUGAUCAGUAGCCGGUUUGAGAGGAUGAACCGCCACAUUUGGAAUGAGGAACGGCCCAGAAUGCUAAGGGAGGCAGCAGUGGGGAAUCUUCCGAAAUGGAAGAAAGUCUGACGGAGCAACGCCGGGGGAGGGAUGACGGCCUUCGGGUUGUAAAGCUCUGUUAAUCGGGACGCGGUACCGGAAUAGAAAGCCACGGCUAACUACGUGCCAGCAGCCGCGGUAAUUC